rnacentral:sRNA from 1 species
GUGUACAUGUUCCUGGUGAAAUGGCAGGACCUGUCAGAGAAGGUGGUCUACCGGCGCUUCACCGAGAUCUAUGAGUUCCAUAAAACCUUAAAAGAAAUGUUCCCUAUUGAGGCAGGGGCAAUCAAUGCAGAGAACAGGAUCAUCCCCCACCUCCCAGCUCCCAAGUGGUACGAUGGGCAACGGGCCGCCGAGAACCGCCAGGGCACGCUUACCGAGUACUGCAGCAUGCUCAUGAGCCUGCCCACCAAGAUCUCCCGCUGUCCCCACCUCCUCGACUUCUUCAAGGUGCGCCCCGAUGACCUCAAGCUCCCCACGGACAACCAGACAAAAAAGCCAGAGACAUACUUGAUGCCCAAAGAUAGCAAGAGUACCGCGACAGUGACAGGGUCUCGCUCUGUUGCCCAGGCUGGAGUGAAGUGGUGUGAUCAUAGCUCACUGCAGCCUCGACCU